CCGGUGCGGGCGUGCCUAAUAAUGCAAGUCGAGCGCAGGAAGCAGGCAGAUCCCCUUCGGGGGUGAUGCCUGUGGAAUGAGCGGCGGACGGGUGAGUAACACGUGGGCAACCUGCCUGUAAGAUCGGAAUAACUCCGGGAAACCGGGGCUAAUGCCGGGUAAUCCUUUUUUUCGCAUGAAAGAGAGGUAAAAGAUGGCCUUUGGCUAUCACUUACAGAUGGGCCCGCGGCGCAUUAGCUAGUUGGUGAGGUAAUAGCUCACCAAGGCGACGAUGCGUAGCCCACCUGAGAGGGUGAUCGGCCACACUGGGACUGAGACACGGCCCAGACUCCUACGGGAGGCAGCAGUAGGGAAUCUUCCGCAAUGGACGAAAGUCUGACGGAGCAACGCCGCGUGAACGAUGAAGGUCUUCGGAUCGUAAAGUUCUGUUGUUAGGGAAGAACAAGUACCGUGCGAAUAGAGCGGUACCUUGACGGUACCUAACGAGGAAGCCCCGGCUAACUACGUGCCAGCAGCCGCGGUAAUACGUAGGGGGCAAGCGUUGUCCGGAAUUAUUGGGCGUAAAGCGCGCGCAGGCGGUUUCUUAAGUCUGAUGUGAAAGCCCACGGCUCAACCGUGGAGGGUCAUUGGAAACUGGGGAACUUGAGGACAGAAGAAGAGAGUGGAAUUCCACGUGUAGCGGUGAAAUGCGUAGAUAUGUGGAGGAACACCAGUGGCGAAGGCGACUCUCUGGUCUGGUUCUGACGCUGAAGUGCGAAAGCGUGGGUAGCAAACAGGAUUAGAUACCCUGGUAGUCCACG
rnacentral:rRNA from 1 species